GAUGAACGCUGGCGGCGUGCCUAAUACAUGCAAGUCGAGCGAACGGACGAGAAGCUUGCUUCUCUGAUGUUAGCGGCGGACGGGUGAGUAACACGUGGAUAACCUACCUAUAAGACUGGGAUAACUUCGGGAAACCGGAGCUAAUACCGGAUAAUAUUUUGAACCGCAUGGUUCAAAAGUGAAAGACGGUCUUGCUGUCACUUAUAGAUGGAUCCGCGCUGCAUUAGCUAGUUGGUAAGGUAACGGCUUACCAAGGCAACGAUGAAUAGCCAACCUGAGAGGAUGAUCGACCACACUGGAACUGGGCCACGGUCAAGACUCCUACGGGAGGCAGAAGUAGGGAAUCUUCCGCAAUGGGCGAAAGCCUGACGGAGCAACGCCGCGUAAGUGAUGAAGGUCUUCGGAUCGUAAAACUCUGUUAUUAGGGAAAAACAUAUGUGUAAGUAACUGUGCACAUCUUGACGGUACCUAAUCAGAAAGCCACGGCUAACUACGUG
rnacentral:rRNA from 1 species